rnacentral:rRNA from 1 species
UGGGGAAUAUUGCACAAUGGGCGCAAGCCUGAUGCAGCCAUGCCGCGUGUAUGAAGAAGGCCUUCGGGUUGUAAAGUACUUUCAGCGAGGAGGAAGGCGUUGUGGUUAAUAACCGCAGCGAUUGACGUUACUCGCAGAAGAAGCGCCGGCUAACUCCGUGCCAGCAGCCGCGGUAAUACGGAGGGUGCAAGCGUUAAUCGGAAUUACUGGGUGUAAAGCGCACGCAGGCGGUCUGUCAAGUCGGAUGUGAAAUCCCCGGGCUCAACCUGGGAACUGCAUCCGAAACUGGCAGGCUAGAGUCUUGUAGAGGGGGGUAGAAUUCCAGGUGUAGCGGUGAAAUGCGUAGAGAUCUGGAGGAAUACCGGUGGCGAAGGCGGCCCCCUGGACAAAGACUGACGCUCAGGUGCGAAAGCGUGGGGAGCAAACA